rnacentral:misc_RNA from 1 species
AACGCACAUUGCGCCCGCUAGUAUUCUAGCGGGCAUGCCUGUUCGAGCGUCAUUUCAACCCUCAAGCACUGCUUGGUGUUGGGGCCCUACAGCUUCUGUAGGCCCUGAAAACUAGUGGCGGGCUCGCUAUAACUCCGAGCGUAGUAGUAACAUCUCGCUUAGGACGUGAUGGCGGGAUCCGGCCGUUAAACCCCCCAAUUUUCUGAAGGUUGACCUCGGAUCAGGUAGGAAUACCCGCUGAACUUAA